UGUAUUGAUUGUUGCAGGGUUCUUCUAAAGCCGGGUUUCUCGGCGAAGCCUCGAUCGAUUUCUCCGAUUUUGCAGCCGAAAACAGCCUGUUACGGUCUCCCUGCCCCUUAAGUUUGCAAACUCCGGUGCCAUUCUACAUGUGACAAUUCAUAAAAUUGAGGGAGCUGAAGAUCAGAGAUACGUCGGAGAUGGUGAAGAUUCGAUCAUUUCCAGAGAGGGAAGCCUGCACAGACAAGUCAUGGAUUACAGUGACAA